AUUGAGCGCUGGCGGAAUGCUUUACACAUGCAAGUCGAACGGCAGCACGGACUUCGGUCUGGUGGCGAGUGGCGAACGGGUGAGUAAUGUAUCGGAACGUGCCCAGUCGUGGGGGAUAACGUAGUGAAAAUUACGCUAAUACCGCGUACGAUCUAUGGAUGAAAGCGGGGGAUCGCAAGACCUCGCGCGAUUGGAGCGGCCGAUAUCAGAUUAGGUAGUUGGUGGGGUAAAGGCCCACCAAGCCAACGAUCUGUAGCUGGUGUGAGAGGACGACCAGCCACACUGGAACUGAGACACGGUCCAGACUCCUACGGGAGGCAGCAGUGGGGAAUUUUGGACAAUGGGCGAAAGCCUGAUCCAGCCAUUCCGCGUGCAGGAUGAAGGCCCUCGGGUUGUAAACUGCUUUUGUACAGAACGAAAAGGUUUCUACUAAUACUAGGAGCUCAUGACGGUACUGUAAGAAUAAGCACCGGCUAACUACGUGCCAGCCGCCGCCGUAA
rnacentral:rRNA from 1 species